AAGUCGUAACAAGGUUUCCGUAGGUGAACCUGCGGAAGGAUCAUUAUCGUGGGGAUUCGUCCCUAUCGAGAUAGCACCCUUUGUCUAUGAGUACCUUCUGUUUCCUCGGCGGGCUUGCCCGCCAAUGGGGACCACGAAAACCCUUUGUAAUAGCAGUAACUUCUGAUAACAAACAAAUAUCAAAACUUUCAACAACGGAUCUCUUGGUUCUG
rnacentral:misc_RNA from 1 species